UUGAUUUCAAUCUUAACUAAAAUCGUGUCACUAAAAAUAAGUAAAUCAACUAACCAGAACAUGAGUUCCGCAAUUGGGUUAAUUUGUUCACGGGGGUUUUUCGGAAGCUCAUCGGCUUUAAAUGAUUGCAUAUUGUCAGAAAUUUUUAAUCACUUUCACAAUAUUUUUAUACAGAUGUCAAUAAACAUAAGCGAAGAAACUCUGUUGCAGUGGUGUUAACUUGAUCUACACGGCGCUAUUCAUAUCAGAGAUGCGGACGCAAUAUCACUUCUUUCAAACGGGUUCCGCAUCAAUUUACAAUCAGCUGUUUCCACGCUGAGUACGGAACUGGUUCUAAUACUCAACUGACCAGUCGCGUUGCUUUUAUGGAAAUUGAUUAGACAACAUGGUAUUUGUUAUUGUUUAAACCACAUUUAAACACUCUUCUAGUGACUAGUAAACCGAACUUCAAGCAAUAUGUUUUUAGUUUUAUCGUAAA